CCUACGGGGAGCAGCAGUGAGGAAUAUUGGUCAAUGGACGAGAGUCUGAACCAGCCAAGUAGCGUGAAGGAUGACUGCCCUAUGGGUUGUAAACUUCUUUUAUAUGGGAAUAAAAUGUUCCACGUGUGGGCUUUUGUAUGUACCCUAUGAAUAAGGAUCGGCUAACUCCGUGCCAGCAGCCGCGGUAAUACGGAGGAUCCGCGCGUUAUCCGGAUUUAUUGGGUUUAAAGGGAGCGUAGGUGGAUUGUUAAGUCAGUUGUGAAAGUUUGCGGCUCAACCGUAAAAUUGCAGUUGAAACUGGCAGUCUUGAGUACAGUAGAGGUGGGCGGAAUUCGUGGUGUAGCGGUGAAAUGCUUAGAGAUCACGAAGAACUCCGAUGGCGAAGGCAGCUCACUGGACUGCAACUGACACUGAGGCUCGAAAGUGUGGGUAUCAAACAGGAUUAGAUACCCUUGUAGUC
rnacentral:rRNA from 1 species